GCUUAAAUACGUGUACAAGCGUUACGUUCUCGUGACCACGCGCACAGGAGCAUGACGUGGGCGCGCAACCUCGAUAGAGACGAUAGUCCAAAAUCUCUACCGGUUGACAAAUUUCUACCGGUUAAUCGCCCACCCCUAGCGGCUGGAGCAACAGGUAACAAGACCUUGAAAGAUUUGCAGAUUCCCCUUCCAGGAAUCAGAACCCUGAAAAGCAGGAUGCAGUGUGUAAUGGUGGUGGUCGCUUCCGAACAACCAAUUUAUAAAUAUAUAUAAUAUAUACAUUCAGUUUAAGUUUGAGCGCCAGACAUGAUUAUUAUUAUUAGCCUGUCACCAAUAAGUCAGUUAAACAAGUUUUAAAGUUCUACCCACCAGUUACAUAAAAAACUCAGAUAUAAUAAUUGUAGGGUUUAAAUAGGAAGGCUUAAUAAACACACAGAAAAUUAAGUUUCAAAAAUAGAUUAAAGGUUUUAAACAAAUACCAAUCAAUAGGUUUCCUCACAAUACAGCAAUAAAUCCAAACUUAUACCUAAAUUCUAAUGUCUUAUGAAUUAAAUGGCAAAGAAAAAUAAUAAAGAAUCAAACAACCAAAUCAGAGCCCCAACUUCAAUUUUGAACAAAAAAACAAAACAAGUCAGCAUAGACUUACGCAAAAAGUAGCACACUCUAGCAGAAAAAAAUUGCUUUAAAUAAUGCAAACCAAAACAAAAAAAUUACUCUGGCCCAAACCUUUUGGCCAGUAUGCAAGGCAUCAGUCAUAAUGAGAUUGCCCACAGCAGAUAUCGCACCGCCAAAUAGUGGUCCAAUAGAGAGCAGCUCAACCAUACUCUUUGUUUUUGAAUGUAAUGUCUCUCCUUUUUUUUGUAAUUCCUCAACUGUCUCAUCUGGGCUUUUUGGCAACUUUCUUUGGCUUGCAUUUGAAGUUGCUUAAGGUGAUGAAUGGUGUCAUAAAAAGCAGAGUCUGGAGUGAGGUGUGGACCGUACAGCACUUUAUCCAUAGGCCCUUGUGGUGUUCGUCCAAGAUGGAGCUCUGCUGGGGUCAUGCCAAUGGUCUCUUGAACUGCUGAAUUGAGGGCAAAACGGAACUCUGCAUUACGCAUGGAAAACAGUUCUACCCAGCGUGAAUAGUAAUCAACAAAGACAAGCAGAUGUUCAUUCUGGUUGGAACUGCGGGGCAUGGGACCCAUUAUAUCAACUCCAAGCAUCUCAUUUGGACUCCCCCAUGACCACUAAGAGUACUAGAGUGGUAAUGCUGCAGAAGAGAUGUUCGGAGACUAAUGGAGUAACAUCAGACACAGGAAGUUCUGGAGCAUCCUUUUGCAUGGUGUACAGGCUACAGCUAGCCUGGGUGCCAGCCCAUCUUAGCCCCGCCCACAAGAUUUUGUAAACGGGAAGAUGGGUCUGGGGUUUCUCCGUUGAGGAGCUACUAUUUUAGCACAAAUGCUGGUCGAACCAAUCAAAUUGUCAGGGCGGGCUUUAUACGAUGAUGGACAGAUAAUCAACAGUAACGUAAUGAACCACGUCACCAAAGAGCGCGUGUGUUGAAUGGCUGCCGCUGUAGAGUUCAGAUGUGUGGAUUCUGACAUUGAGGCUGUUCUAAAAUAUAUCGACAGAGCAUUGAUUUUAAAAGAGGAACAGAGAAACGCGAGCAGGGCAUUUGUUGAUGUCCUAUUCGGCAAAAGUUGGUCGCAACUGAAAAGGCUAACGUUAUCACGGCGAUGCAACUCAGCGUGCACGACGAGAUGGAUAUAAUUAGCGGUCGUUGCCAGCUUCUUUUCGGAAGCCCGGAAUCGUGGUUGCUGAAUAAGGUGGAGGGACAUGCUAGGCUCCAAUAUUUUCAAGCAAACGUAAUGGGUAUCGUCGUGGAUGAAGUUCACCUAACGUACAAAUGGUAAGAGAUAGUCUUACUCUAUGACUUAGUAAAUACUUCAUGUUGUGAUAUAAACGAAAUGUUGUAAACAUAAUAGGUGUUGAUGUACAUUCGCUAACUCAGUAUAAUCACAAUGUUAUUGUUAGUGUCAUAGCGAAAUAACUAGCAGUUCGGUCAGGCUGCAAAGACGUAAUUUCAACAUACGUUACACACUCGGUUGCUCUGAUUGGUCGUAGGUCUAUCCAAUUGAGUGCAGAGGCAUUUUUCGGUUGAGACACGCCUCAUAAUUAUAGCUCAAUGGAGCGGUAUCAGACUCAAAUUCUGACUAGAAUUGAGUAUGGCAACGUCAGGCUAGGCUACAGCUUGAUUGUACGGGAAUUCUGGACAGAGCAUCUGGUGCAACAUUUAACGUUCCUUUUUGAUAUUCAAUGAUAAAGUCAAAUUUUUGCAGGCGUAGGACCCAGCAGAUGAGGCGACUUUUAGUGGAAUUAAUGACCCAUUGUAAGGCAGAGUGUUCGGUGACCACGGACCAAGAUUUUAUGCUCCAGAUUAGGGAUGUUAACAAUUAACCGAUCUUCGAUUAAUUGUUGAUAAGAAUUAAAUUGAUAAAAAUUAACGAUUGUCGACAAAGCAAGCACGUGUGUCCGGCGCCUGCGCAAAGCACAUACACAGCUGGUGAAAAAAUUAAACAAGCGCGAAGAAGUAAAACUAGCCAUGAUCACAACGAUGCUUGAUGCCAAACACUCACUUGGGCUUUAUAACCUCAUUCGAGACGAGGCUGUCUGCUAACGCAACGAAAUGGCAUCCGCAGUGGAUCUGAGAGGUUCCGAUGCCGAAAAUCUAAACACAGUUAGGAUACUGAAAGCAAAGACCCUCUUCAGGGAAGUCUGCAAGAUUAGCAUAGCAACGCUGCUAACGCUGCUUUACACAGGGAAGGAGACCAGAAGUCGUUUUUAAUAAACAGAUUAAAAUGUAAAACUUACAUUCUGGCAAGAAACUGUUAAAUGUAAACUGUAACUGACUGUCGUUACACUCUGAACGCCCACAACAUAUAUCAUUGAUCAUCAUCAUUACUGGCUGAGGCGCUACACGCUAAACGGAUUUUCUAAUGGAAGGUUGAAGUCUUCAUAAUAAGCAUCUUUGCUGAAAGUACACCGCAGGUCUAAAGCUGAGGUGACGACGGGAAAAAUGCCCUUUGUGUGCUUCUUGGAUCAGGGUUAUUACCGUAAACGAAAACUAUCACGAAAACUGAAACUAUUAGUGAAAAAACAUUUUCGUUAACUGAAAUAAAAUAAAAACGAAGGUUUCUAAAAAAAACUAAAACUAAACUAUAACUAUAAUGUGGACCUGUAAAACUAACUAAAACUAACUAAAAUGUUGGAAAACAAAACUUGCGUUUUCGUUUUUUAAAUGUUAUUGGAUCAGCAGUUGAACACGGAGUCCCUCAUAUUACCGGAUCAUAAGCAAAUGAGCAGAUGUUGCUGGAUCAUUAAUGACCAAUAGGUGGCAGUCUAUUAGAACUCCUGACCUGCACAGCAGCGUCACGUGAUGUGUAUGACGCUGUCAGGGCACUGGAUCCCUGCCCCCGAGCCAACAGUUUGGUUCAGAAAACAUCAUCUGGUUGCUAACGGCUAGUUUAGUAAGACAAUUUGUUUCUGCUGGCAAACCAUUACAAUAACUGAAGAAGGCUUAAUUAUCUCAGUGUACUGUACACGGAAGCAUUAAAACGUUAAAUAUGGCUGAAAACGCUGACGCCAACCGCUUGCUUGGCAGUGUUAGCUGACGCUGCUAUGAUACAGAAUGUCCGCUUAACUAAUCUGAAACUAUUAUAUGCCUUUGCGGAUAAUCAACAAAUAAUAUUAUAUAUUAAUAUUUAGUCAACAAAUAGGUAUAUUAUGUUAGUGCAGCGAUCUCUUCUGGAACAGAAAUGGACACUCAUAGACAGAACAUUAAACUUUGCAUUGAUUUUCAGUUGUUGUGCACAGUUUGUACAAGUAGGAUGUGCUGAUUUACUCAAAAUUAUCUGGGUUAUUUUUAACCCAAUGCUGGGAAAAUAUUGGACAGAACACAUGUGUUGGUUAAUAAAUAAACAUAUGCUGGGUUGUUUUAACUCAUGUUUGGGUUAACAACAACCCAGCAUAUGAUUAUUUAUAACCAAACAUGUAUAUUUAUAUAUGUAUAUUAUAUUUACCCAAAUAACACAACAGAACUUAGAGUGUUGGUUGGUGUGGUAUUUGUCCCAGCCUUUGAUUGAUAGGACUUAAUAAACAAAACUUUUUUUUUUAAUCCUCUUAUUCUCAUCGUAUUUUCAACAUUUCCAGAUUUGGCGAGGUGUAUGUACACAACCAUGAUAUUAUGCUAAAGACUAAAACUAUACUAAAUAAAAACUAAAAGUAAUGAUUUUUGAAAAAUAGAAACGAAAUCAAAACUAUUUAUGCACCACUAAAAAGAACUAAAACUAAACUGAAAUAAAAUAACACAUUACAAAACGAAAUAAAAAUAAAAGCAAAUAUUUUUUUUAAACUAUAAUAACCCUGUCUUGGAUAUAAUUACAGCAAGUGAUGUAUCAACGACUCAGAAAGCAAGGUGAACAACUAGAAAAAUAACACUUGAUGAUAAUGAAAACUUAUUUUGUCAUGGACGCACGGACUUUCAUCCGACUGUGCGGAGUGCCCGUUAUGAGGCGGAGUUUACUGUGUCUAUUAGUCAUUAUAUUUCAUUACGAGAUUCAAUUGAUGAUUUUUAUCAAAACACCAACUACAUUGACUCAUUUUACAAUCCCACUAGCAUGUUAUUUAGACAAAAUAAAAACUUUUAAUUCGCGUGAGGAAGCUGGCAUUUUUACGCACACUUUAUGUCAUUGGCUAUAUGUCACUGCUGUAAUGGCUUAUUGCACUAUUACUGUUAACAAUUAUUCGAUUGAUUGAUCGUUAAUUUAAAUGAUCAUUGAAUAUGGGAAAUUGCAUAUUUUGACAUCCCUACUCCAGAUCAUGCUGCCUUUUUUCUAGAGCCCAGACCACUGCAAGGCAUUCCUUUUUAGUGGCAGAGUAGUUGUUUUUGGCUCCUGUUAGAGUCCUACUUGCAUAAGCGAUGACCUCUUCUGUGCCAGAAUUUUUCAGCUGAGUCAAGAUGGCACCCAGACCAGUGUCACUAGCAUCUGUGUACACGAUGAAUGGAAGUUUGAGGUCAGGAUGGCCCAGAAUGAGUGAUACAAGUGGUUCUGCAAUCUGAAAAGUUGGGGACAAAGUGGAGAUGCCACCCAGACAGUCCCAGGAAACGUUGGACUUCUUUCGGGUUCCUAGGCACAGGGUUUACUGUCAAGCCCGCAGUUUCUAGCCUGUGGAGUACCUUCUGGAGGUUGUUGAAGUGCUAAGAUAUUGUGGAUCUUUUGUGGAGAAGAUGGAUGCUCCUGAAAGUGACUCCAAGAUCUCGAUGAUGUUAGGCAGAGGACAUAUAGGGGCGGUUUCCCAGACAGGGAUUAUACUACUCCUAAGCACUAUUCGGACGGGAUUAGUUUUCCAAACGACGUUUGAGUUUCAACGUGUCCCCCAGGACGUCUGUGAUUUUAUGUACCGAUUCGGACGGGAUUAAAAUGAUGCAGGCUAUUCCAGAGAUGGGAGUGUGUGUUUCAUGCAUCUGGGCAUUGCAGUAGCACGUGCUCUGGAUACGCGUGUUUGUAAUGUUUAAUAUUUUGCUUUAAAUGUAAAAUUAUGACAGAACAUUUUUUUACAAAUCAAAAUAAAAUAUACAAAUCCUACUAAA